rnacentral:rRNA from 1 species
CCUACGGGUGGCAGCAGUGGGGGAUAUUGCACAAUGGGGGAAACCCUGAUGCAGCGACGCCGCGUGAGUGAUGAAGUAUUUCGGUAUGUAAAGCUCUAUCAGCAGGGAAGAAAAUGACAGUACCUGACCAUGAAGCCCCUGCUAACUACGUGCCAGCAGCCGCGGUAAUACGUAGGGGGCAAGCGUUAUCCGGAUUUACUGGGUGUAAAGGGAGCGUAGACGGUUAUGUAAGUCUGGAGUGAAAGCCCGGGGCGCAACCCCGGGACUGCAUUGGAAACUGUGAAACUUGAGUACAGGAGAGGCAGGCGGAAUUCCUGGUGUAGCGGUGAAAUGCGUAGAGAUCAGGAGGAACACCGGCGGCGAAGGCGGCUUUCUGGACUGAAACUGACGUUGAGGCUCGAAAGCGUGGGGAGCAAACAGGAUUAGAUACCCUUGUAGUC